CAACCCCAUUAUAGUAGUUUACAAUUCGAGUAAUAAAAAUCCAUUUAGAUCUACAUUCUACCCAUACCCAUAACUGCAAUUUCUCUCUCCUCAAGUGGCCACACUCAUUCCCAACAAUAACAGCAACAACAACAGACUCGAAUCCAAUCAAAACUGAGCUGAACAAAUCAAACCACUGAUUCCAACCCCAUUACCAAACACGACAAUUACUUUUCCAUUCACAUUCCAAAC
rnacentral:lncRNA from 1 species